UACGUAGGGACCAAGCGUUGUUCGGAUUUACUGGGCGUAAAGGGCGCGUAGGCGGCAUAUUAAGUCAGCUGUGAAAUCUCCGAGCUUAACUCGGAACUGUCAGCUGAUACUGAUGUGCUAGAGUGCAGAAGGGGCAAUCGGAAUUCUUGGUGUAGCGGUGAAAUGCGUAGAUAUCAAGAGGAACACCGGUGGCGAAGGCGGGUCUCUGGGCCGAUACUGACGCUGAGGAGCGAAAGCGUGGGGAGCGAACAGG
rnacentral:rRNA from 1 species